GUGCUUGCUUCAACAGCGCAUACACUAAAAUUGGAGCAAAUCAGAGAUGAGCAUGGCCUCUGUACAAGGGUGAUGCAAAUUCGUGAAGUGCUCCAUAUUUAA